ACUUUGAAAACAGGAGACAUCCGCGGCAGGUGGGGCUUGCAAAUGAUAUUUCUAAUCAGAUGUUCAUCCAGAAAGUAAUUAACUUUAGGAAAGUAAAGGCCCUAGAGGCUUCUGAAAAGAUUUCCUUACUCUCAAUUCUCCCUGAGCAUUGCUUGAUAUUUGCCUCCCCCUGAGCUGUAGAGCCCAAAGGGAAGAUGAGAAGCAAGUCCUGCUGAUAUGGAUGCGGAUCACAUUUGCGUGACUCAGAGCUGUGGGGAGAGUGGCACAAUCUGAUUUAUGUUUUCAAAACAUCACUCUGGCUGCUGAAUAGAAUCAUUUGGAGAAGAGCAAGCUUGGAAAAUGGAGGCCAUCUGUUGAGAUGAGAACCUGUGAAGAUGGAAGGAACCUAGAUGUUUGAGUCAUGGGGUGGAGAAGAGACCAUGUAAACCUACAUUGAAAUUUGUGUGGAUUUUGCACCAUCAGAUACAUUUUGAUAUUAGAAGAUAAAGAGAUUGGCCCGAAACUGGGAUGGAGGAGAAGCAGCCAAAGAGUUGUUCUGUUUCUUAAGUUACUUUGAAGGUUGUACACUUUUAAUAUUCAUUUUGAGGAAUAAAUAAUUUAGACAUCCAAUUAAA
ensembl:lncRNA LINC01182 long intergenic non-protein coding RNA 1182